UAAUACGAAGGGACCUAGCGUAGUUCGGAAUUACUGGGCCUAAAGAGCACGUAGGUGGUUAAGAAAGUUGGUGGUGAAAUCCCAAGGCUUAACCUUGGAACUGCCAUCAAAACUUUUUAACUAGAGUGUGAUUAAGGUAAGCGGAAUUUCUAGUGUAGAGGUGAAAUUCGUAGAUAUUAGAAAGAACACCAAUUGCGAAGGCAGCUUUCUGGAUCAUUACUGACACUGAGGUGCGAAAGCAUGGGUAGCGAAGAGGAUUAGAUACCCUCGUAGUCCAUGCCGUAAACGAUGUGUGCUAGACGUUGGGAAUUUAUUUUUCAGUGUCGCAGCAAAAGCGUUAAGCACACCACCUGGGGAGUACGACCGCAAGGUUA
rnacentral:rRNA from 1 species